rnacentral:rRNA from 1 species
UACGUAGGGUGCGAGCGUUGUCCGGAAUUAUUGGGCGUAAAGGGCUCGUAGGCGGUUUGUCGCGUCGGGAGUGAAAACCCAGGGCUUAACUCUGGGCUUGCUUUCGAUACGGGCAGACUAGAGGUAUGCAGGGGAGAACGGAAUUCCUGGUGUAGCGGUGAAAUGCGCAGAUAUCAGGAGGAACACCGGUGGCGAAAGCGGGUCUCUGGGCCGAUACUGACGCUGAGGAGCGAAAGCGUGGGGAGCGAACAGG